AUGUAGUUAUUUCAUGGAAAAAUUCAUCUUGCUGUUUUCUCUUGGGUCUUCAGGUGGUGUAUAAUAAAUUAAAUAUUCUCAUAAACUUUGUUGACAUAAAGGGGAAGUUUCUGACUCCAAAAGGCAAACUAAGAAAAUGAAGGUGAACAGCGUCGUUCCUGUGUUCUCAAAGGAGGGGCCUCCUGGGGCUGUUUAUUGCUAAUGGGUGAGCAGAGCCAUAUUUCAGGCUGGUCACUGCUGUCCAUCUACUACCAAGACCAUCUUUAAGCUGGCUCUGCCCUCUCCUUCAAGGCCAUGGCAAGCCAAACUCAUACGAGGACUUUUCCUGAUGUGAAAACUUGCCAAUUGCAGAUUGUCAACGGCAUUUGUGAGACGAACCUCAUGUUGCACAGGAAAGAACCUUAUAUCCAGAGCCAGAGCACAUUAGUUAUUUUUCAUGUCAUUCAAGAUUAAGUUCAAGGAGGAGAGAUUUACUUCAGCUCAGAUUUUCACAGUAUGGAAAGUAUGGCGGAACUCAUGGCAGCAGGUAU
rnacentral:lncRNA from 1 species